rnacentral:lncRNA from 1 species
ACAUUAAUCAAGCCUUCUUUGAAACCUUUCCUUUAUCUCACCCAUAGAACGAAUGCAGUUCAUCUCCCAGCGCCUGGGGUCUCUCCCCACCCAUUCUGCCGCAAGAUCAAGGUCUCCACCAUCUCCACAGAGCCCCCCAACUCCAGCUCCUCCUUCCCCUACUUGGAAGAUGAAGGCCGAGAAUGAUGUGCGCCCCAAGAGGAGGGACAGAGAAUUGUCUUCUAUCGAAAAAAUAUCUCUGAGGUCUUCAAGAAGCAAAAGGCAUCUGACUACCAGGACUUCGCCUCCAUCCUGACCUCCACUGGGCCACAGGCCCUCAAUGACACGUAUGACCAGCUGGUCGCAUGUUCCCAGUGCAACAUCCUCCUUCCGAGCCCAACCCUACAGAAGCAUGAGGUGGGGAAGGUGAAGCCUAUGAGAAUGUGGCAAUAAGGGAGCCAUUUGGAGGAGGUGGUAUUAUCCGAAGCUGCGGCUGCAGGGGAGAAUGCACAGUGGGACCUCUUUCUCUUGGGGAAGCUCCCUGGCCUUUGCUACUAAACAGCUGAAAUCCUAACCAUAACAGGCUAAUAACAUUUAGAAAAUGGUGGGAGAAGGGAAACGUUGACCAAAAAAAGAUUAUUCAAGUUUAAUGAGCUUUUUGAAAUUGAAUUUCUCUACCAUGCCUUUAAAAAGGACAUUUCAAGAGAGGGAGGGAGGGAGGGAGGGAGAGAGAGAGAGAGAGAGGGGGUGGGUGGGCUGCAAUAGCGGAAAUGUCAUCAGGUCACGCAUGAAAUCCCGAUUUCAUUCCUAUUUCAGAAAAAGUGCCAGCGGGCAGCUUCUCUACAAGCAAUUCAACAGAGCCCACUAUUUUUGGAAAAAGAAGGAGAAUCCGUGCAAAGCUCACCAGAAGGAAAUAGCUGGCAAUGACCUUUCUCAGCGGCUGAACUGUCCCUUUUUGUUCCAGCAGGAUCGGGUUCAGUAAAGUGCCUUGCAAUACCCUGAUCUGCCUUUUUAAGAAUAAAAGAGCUACAGUUCACAACCAAGCAUAAGCACCAUUUGCGAGUUUAUAAUAAAGAGUCUUUGGAAUGCAAAAAGGAUGGAUGAGGAUUGGCGCAGCUGAAUGGCACAUGCAAAAAAAAUGCUGAAUAACAAGCACUGCAGAUCAGGGGCAAAUCUUGUGUUUCUC